rnacentral:rRNA from 1 species
AUUGAACGCUGGCGGCAUGCCUAACACAUGCAAGUCGAACGGGGGCAGCAAUGCCCUAGUGGCGGACGGGUGAGGAAUACGUAGGAACCGGCCCACGAGUGGGGGACAACCUGGGGAAACCCAGGCUAAUACCGCAUACGCUCGCGAGAGGAAAGCGGGGGACCUUCGGGCCUCGCGCUGGUGGACGGGCCUACGUCCGAUUAGCUUGUUGGUGGGGUAAAAGCCUACCAAGGCGACGAUCGGUAGCUGGUCUGAGAGGAUGAUCAGCCACACUGGGACUGAGACACGGCCCAGACUCCUACGGGAGGCAGCAGUGGGGAAUAUUGGACAAUGGGCGCAAGCCUGAUCCAGCAAUGCCGCGUGGGUGAAGAAGGCCUGCGGUUGUAAAGCCCUUUAAGCGGGAGGAAAGCCGGGGGUGAAUAGCGCCUCGGGGUGACGUUACCGCAGAAUAAGCACCGGCUAACUACGUGCCAGCAGCCGCGGAAU